GCCGAAGUGGUGGAAUUGGUAGACACGCUGUCUUGAGGGGGCAGUGGCCCUAGGCCGUGCCGGUUCGAGUCCGGCCUUCGGCACCA
rnacentral:tRNA from 1 species